rnacentral:rRNA from 1 species
AUUGAACGCUGGCGGAAUGCUUUACACAUGCAAGUCGAACGGCAGCUCGGACUUCGGUCUGGUGGCGAGUGGCGAACGGGUGAGUAAUGUAUCGGAACGUGCCCAGUCGUGGGGGAUAACGUAGUGAAAAUUACGCUAAUACCGCAUACGAUCUAUGGAUGAAAGCGGGGGAUCGCAAGACCUCGCGCGAUUGGAGCGGCCGAUAUCAGAUUAGGUAGUUGGUGGGGUAAAGGUCCACCAAGCCAACGAUCUGUAGCUGGUCUGAGAGGACGACCAGCCACACUGGAACUGAGACACGGUCCAGACUCCUACGGGAGGCAGCAGUGGGGAAUUUUGGACAAUGGGCGAAAGCCUGAUCCAGCCAUUCCGCGUGCAGGAUGAAGGCCCUCGGGUUGUAAACUGCUUUUGUACAGAACGAAAAGGUUUCUACUAAUACUAGGAGCUCAUGACGGUACUGUAGAAUAAGCACCGGCUAACUACGUGCCAGCCGCCGCCGUAA